AUUGAACGCUGGCGGUAUGCCUUACACAUGCAAGUCGAACGGUAGAGGAGCAAUCCUUGAGAGUGGCGAACGGGUGAGUAAUACAUCGGAACGUGCCCAGUCGUGGGGGAUAACGUAGCGAAAGCUACGCUAAUACCGCAUACGACCUGAGGGUGAAAGCGGGGGACCUGCAAGGGCCUCGCGCGAUUGGAGCGGCCGAUGGCAGAUUAGGUAGUUGGUGGGGUAAAGGCCCACCAAGCCGACGAUCUGUAGCUGGUCUGAGAGGACGACCAGCCACACUGGAACUGAGACACGGUCCAGACUCCUACGGGAGGCAGCAGUGGGGAAUUUUGGACAAUGGGCGAAAGCCUGAUCCAGCCAUCCCGCGUGUGGGAAGAAGGCCUUCGGGUUGUAAACCACUUUUGUCAGGGAAGAAAUACUCUGGGCUAAUACCCUGGGGUGAUGACGGUACCUGAAGAAUAAGCACCGGCUAACUACGUGCCAGCAGCCGCAGUAAAAC
rnacentral:rRNA from 1 species